GAACACACGUAAAUUCAUUUUGUUGAAUAUCGUACGAAACAACUUACAUGUAGUAUCUUGCAUUAAAAUUUCAAUGUGAUAUAUAUUUUAAUUAUUUUCCAAGCUACUCCACAAGGAUGCCGUAUCUGGUUAUUUGAAUAAGUGAAAAAAAAUGAAUUUGUGGCCGCCCUGACUGUCAACAGAGGCCCACUAGAGUCUGCAGCCGAAGUGGCGAUCCAGCAUGAGGGCUAAGCUGCGCUGUGAUUGGUUGAUCUAAGCGUCCCACGGAUCGCAGAUCUAAACCGUCUAUCCCCCUGAGAUCCAACGGCAAGGAAACCUCCCCCUCUUUCUUGUGUUUCCUUCCGUCCACCACGCCAGCUUCUCUUCCAUCGGCAGGAACUGGAUCUCGGUCGCCUCUUCCAGAUCCUCCACCCUCCACCCCCCGGUCCUCCACCCUACCCAUCCAUGGCCGCAUCCACUGCAGCAAGAAAAAGGCCGGCAGCCGCCGCAACCUCGCCAUCCAUGACCAUCCUCCCCUCUGCAUCCCGCAACCACCGCGUCAGCAGCCGCCGCGACUUUAGCCUCGUCUCACAGGCGGGGACGCCCCUGAAGGCGGACCUAUAGUGAACGCGGCGCUGACGCCGUUGCUGCGGAUGGUGCCCAUCUUGCUGCAAGCAGCGACCAGGUCCCUCGUGGGCGUGCAGAGCCUGGAUGGGUCGGGCGCGAUGACUAUGGGGUGCGGGAGGUCCCACUUCAGCCUCCACCUGACGACGCGCCUGGUCGAGUUCCGCCGCAUCAGAUCGGCGAGAUCCCACCAGGUCACCAGGUACUAUACGUUUAUGGACUCUUCAUCGAUGGAGACAGAGUGUCGUUCAGGAGGAUGGUUCGAGGCGAGAUGCCUGCGAAAAUGGUGUCUCCCAGGCACGGGCAUUAACCCCAGUUGACGUAUGGCGAGCGCCGCCGGCGCUUGAGGAGAUGGAGAGUAGUGUAGUGUUCUCAGGAGAUGUUUGUAAUUUUAAGUUUAGGGAUUUUUUGCUUUUGUAUAGGUGUAUUUCUCGGUUUGUUUAUGUAACUUUUAUUUUAUUUAAUGAAAUGAGCAUAUAUUUUUCUGAAAAA